rnacentral:tRNA from 1 species
AUGGCUAUAAGUUAAUGGUAGACUAUUCGUUUUCCAUACGAAGUGUGUCGAUUCGAAUUCGACUAGCUGUA